rnacentral:rRNA from 1 species
UCUGGUGACUAUAGCAAGGAGGUCACACCUGUUCCCAUGCCGAACACAGAAGUUAAGCUACUUAGCGUCGCUGG